CAUCCUUCUUUUGCACUUACUCACAGCCGUCUCUAGUACAUUCUCUCUCCUCUCUCACUCACCCAUUCAUUCUCUUUCUCUCUCCUAUGAGAUCGCCCUUCAAUGGCGAUUUUUCUCACCUGAUUCUCUCUUCCACCGCUCCUUACCUCCUUUUUCGCUUUCCUCCCUCGGUUAUUGAAAAUUUUCCGUUCAUUUUUUCUCGAUAUCCUCCCUCCUUUGUUUAACCACCGUUCAUUUUAAUCCCCCAGAACCCUAAAACUCCUGCUUGAAGAAUAUGAUACGGCGGAGGUUUUGAUGUCCUCUACGGCGAACUCAGCUGCUGGUGUUGAAUUGAGGGAUCUCUACGCACUGAACAUUAUGGCUACUCGGAUAGUGUCCAAAAUGUUCUUGGUGAGAAGGGAAGAAAGAUUAGGGAGCUGAGCUCGAUUGUGCAUAAGAGUUUAUAUUCGCUAGGUUACAGUUGGGCAAGUGCCUCAAAACAAUUAUCCAUGCUGAUUACCCUGAGCAGUGGCCUGACCUUCUUCACUGGGUGAAGCAUAAUUUUCAAGAUCAACAGGUCUAUGUUGCUUUGUUUGUUUUGCGGAUUCUCGCUGGAAAAUAUGAGUGAGAAGGGAACUCAUUGUUGCUGCUGGUAUUGCAAUUGAUCAUUGUUGCUGAACUACAGCUGCUGAUGGUGCUUAUGGUUGCUGAGGAUCUGCUAUCAUUGUUCUCUUGGAUGCUGUGGUUACUAGUGCUGUUUGUGUUCCAUUAGUCAUUAAUUAUUUAAUUAAAUUAACAUUUUACAAUCUUUUUACAAGUUUAAAAGCAGUUUUUAAGAUGUAAAAUAAAUUUGGUGUAUACUGUAUAUGUCGUGUUUGACACUAUGUAUGUGCCAUAAAAACCAAUAUUUUAAUUUGGAGUAUGUUUAUUGUUUAA